GUGCCAGCAGCCGCGGUAAUACGGAGGAUCCGAGCGUUAUCCGGAUUUAUUGGGUUUAAAGGGUGCGUAGGCGGCUCAUUAAGUUAGGGGUGAAAGACGGCAGCUCAACUGUCGCAGUGCCUUUGAUACUGAUGAGCUUGAAUGUGGUUGAAGAUGGCGGAAUGAGACAAGUAGCGGUGAAAUGCAUAGAUAUGUCUCAGAACUCCGAUUGCGAAGGCAGCUGUCUAAGUCAUUAUUGACGCUGAUGCACGAAAGCGUGGGGAUCGAACCGGAUUAGAAACCCCUGUAGUCG
rnacentral:rRNA from 1 species